CCCACCCGGCUGGGAUUUGCGGGACUAGUUGUGAGGCGGAGCAGGACUUUCCGCCGAUCAGCGGAACGCGCGCAUAGCAGAAGUUUGCCCGUGGUUGUUAAGCACGUCGUCGUGGGAACCGUGAGAAUUAGGGAUUUUUGAAGUGGCUGCCUCGAUUACCGCUGGAAGGCGCGAGGGACUGACUUGUCUGCGAGGAAGCCUGACAGGCGAAACGUUUUUGCUGGUGAAACUACAGGGUCACUGUCCCGGCUCUGAGUUUUUCCUGUGGGCUAGAAACCGGACACAAAUAUUUCCUUAUCUCUGCACAGAAACACACAUCAGUAAUCACAUUUCACUUGCUAAAGCUAAGCUAAAAGUAUCCAGCAAGACUUCUCCAUUGGAUGUGGGCUUUGAUGAUUUGUUAAUGAAUUCUAACUGAAGAACUUUUUAGUUGAUCUGAAAAUGGGUGAAACAUUAAACAACUAUUGUAAAGGGCCAAAUAAUGUCUAUAAGAGCCUGUUCAGCUGGGAAAGGUUAUAAGCUAGACUAGAGGAGGAAAUAGGCCCUGCCAUCUGUGGCUAGAGAUGCCAGAUAGAUUGAUCAUCUUUGUGGGAAUGAAGGCAAGCGUUCCCUGUGAUAAAUGAACAGAUCUACUGAAACUUUUUCAAAUGGUGAAUGAAAUAGAUGUAUAUAAAGGAGCUGGAGAUACACUCCUUGUUUACAGACCACAACGGGGGCAGACAACUCAGUUAUUAAGCAAAGCAGUUACUAGGUGAAACUGCAACUGUGCUUAUGCUCUUCCUUCUGCUAUCUUUUGUUAAAGUUUACAGAUCUGCAAACAUCAUAAAGUUACUGCUGCUACCAACGUAGAUGCUUUCAAGAUGGGAUCAGUCAAAUUAAUGUAGGCUGAGACAAACAAGGACUGCUACCUAUAAUAGCUGUUACAUUUUUCUGAUGGGCAACACAAACAGGAGGUACUAGUGGUUUCUGUCCUUUGUAUAAGCAUCUGUUUUGUCAUUUUAAUUAUAGGUUAGAGGAGUUUAUAAAUCUGUAAUCUUAAGGGUCUCAAGUCACCAGGACCCUCAUUGUAUUAAGAUUUGCUACCAUUUUAAUACAUUUCUGCACCAGUCCACCAAGAUGGCAUUUGUAUAAGGAAAAUGCAUACAUAUAGACACACCAGCAACAUUAUUGCAAGGGGGGAGGAGGGGAAGAAGAAAACUUUUGUUCUUUUAUUCUCCCCAUAUCUGUUUUAUGAACUGAACUUUGUGGGUUCAGUUAAACAAGGCUAAAUAAUCCUGCUUGAUUAGCCAUGCAUCAAGAGUGUUUGCAAUGGAGUUUUCAUUUCCCUUGCCGCCCAGAAUGAGAUGACAAAGUUGCACUGGCUGAGGAGCUCAGCAAAUUCCAAUCCAUGGCAGCCUUGAAGUCAGCAGCCAGAGACAAUAUAUAGCCAAUGAUAUUCCCAGCAGCAAGGAAGAAGGUCACAUAUGCCAUCUUCUUCCUACUAUAUUUACUUUAUUAGUGGGAAGUGGGUUUACUUUUCACUGCACUUUUAUUGAGAAAUUUAAAAAGGUACAUUUCUAGUUUUGGAAUGAUCAGAACAAGAUACAAAUGCUAUUUCUUAACCGAUUUAACAGUGUACAAAAAAAAUCACAAAAAAUGCAGUCUCAACAACAGGAUAAUCAGUACUCUUCCCUCAAAGUAAUCUAGGAAUCACACAAGGAAAGGGAGGAUGGUCUACAUAUUUUCUUGAAAAGAAAAAUAUCAAGUACAAAGGCACUAAUUCUUUUGGCGAAUUAAGACAUAAACAAUUAACAAAUGUAUUUUUCCCAAUUAUGGGCAACCACUCGCCAAAUGAGCCCACCCAGCUAAAUUUUAUUCAGAAGACUGUCUCUCACAAGCAUUCUACUUAUAAUCUAAACGCUGGUUGCUUUAAACAGAUUUACUGAAAUCCACAGGAACUGCUGCCAACUAUAGUCACAGAAAAAUACUAUGAAUUUCUUUCUAGCAGGAUAGCCUCACAUACACUUUAAUAUCUGAAAGUAGCAAAAAAUAGAAGUAUAAAAUUAGCUGUCAUAUUGCACAACAAAAAUAUAAUUGCAUCAAACAAUCAAAAUGGGAGAUGACAGCAACUUUUAAAAAGAUUGCACUGCCAAAAUGACUUAUUCUCUAGGCUUUAAAAUAUCAGUGAAUUCAGCUGAAAAUACAAUCAUAGAGUCAGAAAUGUAAAGAAGUACAAUCCUUGUAUUUGUAGUUUAUGCGUUUAAAAUUAAACUAUGUUAUUUUUUAUCAGAAUAAAUAUUUAAAUGAUUUCUAUGAAUACAAGUAGCCACACUGACAGCUUUAAUACCUUGUUUUGGCAUUCAUGUAUGUUUUAGGCACUCCUGAUGCUAAAACCCUAUUGGCUAUCCAAGUGUGAACUGCAGAUCUGUGGGGAAACAGAUCUUAUUUGAAUAAAAGGGCAAUGAGAUUAUUAGUAUUUAAUAGGCUAUAAUCUUCUUAAAAAGAAUAGAUCACUUGUGAAACCAAAGACUUCUCUUUUUGUUUCAUUUAAACUGAUACAGUACCAGCAAAUUUUUCAAAAACAAAGACUGAGCAAAUGUUUCAUCUUUAUUUUUUAAUAUAAAGAUGAAUCAUAAAAUACUGUGUGGCUUAGAAGGACACAUAGCAAAUGUCCUUCACAGUUAUGCCAAAGAAAAGACAAAAAUAGAAACUUUGUAGAAUCAACAAUCAAAGAAUGGAAGGAAGGAAAUUGAGUUCACAGCGCUCCUUGUCUUAACAUCCAGCAUGGCCAUACACAAAACAUUUUUUUUUUAUCCAUUCUUCCUUUGAAAAUAAUUACAAGCAAAUGUAGACAAGAAAGUUUUAUUCCUAAAAUAUAGACAUUUCUAAAAUAAAUUACAUUUUUAAUAUUAUUUUGCAUUAGACUGCUCUAGAAAUAUUAUUUUCCACCUGUUAAUAUUUUAUUGAUUUCAAGUUGCAAAAGAUGGCAAAACAUGGAAGAA